rnacentral:ncRNA from 2 species
UACGAAGGUCCCGAGCGUUGUUCGGAUUUACUGGGCGUAAAGAGUCUGUAGGCUGUAAAGUAAGUCAGGUGUGAAAUCCCGGGGCUCAACCCCGGAACUGCACCCGAUACUGCUUUACUGGAGUAUUGGAGGGGAAUCUGGAAUUCUCGGUGUAGCAGUGAAAUGCGUAGAUAUCGAGAGGAACACUAGUGGCGAAGGCGAGAUUCUGGACAAUUACUGACGCUGAGAGACGAAGGCCAGGGUAGCGAAAAGG